UACGUAGGGGGGCAAGCGUUGUCCGGAAUCAUUGGGCGUAAAGAGCGUGUAGGCGGCCAGAAAAGUCCGCUGUGAAAACUCGAGGCUCAACUUCGAGCUGUCGGUGGAAACUUUCUGGCUAGAGUCCGGAAGAGGAGAAUGGAAUUCCUGGUGUAGCGGUGAAAUGCGUAGAUAUCAGGAGGAACACCGGUGGCGAAGGCGGCUCUCUGGACCACAACUGACGCUGAGGCGCGAAAGCUAGGGGAGCAAACGGG
rnacentral:rRNA from 1 species